CGUCAAUGGAGCUUGUGUGUUAUGUCCCCACGGCCGAUAUGGCGACAACUGUUCUAUGUCUUGUUCUUGCCCAAACAAUGGAACCUGCAGUGGUAUCACUGGGCAAUGUACAUGUACUGCUGGCUAUCACGGAUUACGUUGUCAGGCAGAAUGUUCUACCGGUUAUUUUGGUCUCGGGUGCUCGCAGGAAUGCACUCAAUGUCCAAAUUUAUAUGGGUUCCGCCAUUGCCAUCAUAUCUCCGGAGAGUGCCAGUGCCCAGUCGGUCUCACAGGGGACCAGUGUCAAACAACGAUUACUUGUGGCCAACCGGAAAACAACACUUUGCACUAUAGCCUCUCCACUGGGCAGGGUACGGUGUACUCAAGUCAACGGUAUGUAAUUUGCAACCAAUUUUACGAACCUGACACUACAGUUCCCCAGUCAAUUUACUGUCAGAAUAAUGCCAAAU